AGUGAACGCUGGCGGUAGGCCUAACACAUGCAAGUCGAACGGCAGCACAGUAAGAGCUUGCUCUUACGGGUGGCGAGUGGCGGACGGGUGAGGAAUACAUCGGAAUCUACUUUUUCGUGUGGGUUAACGUAGGGAAACUUACGCUCAUACCGCAUAUGACCUACGGGUGAAAGCAGGGGAUCUUCGGACCUUGCGCGAUUGAAUGAGCCGCUGUCGGAUUUGCUAGUUGGCGGGGUAAAGGCCCACCCAGGCGCAGAUCCGUAGCUGGUCUGAGAGGCUGGUCGGCCACACGGGAACUGAGACACGGUCCAGACUCCUACGGGAGGGAGCAGUGUGGAAUAUUGGACAAUGGGCGCAAGCCUGAUCCAGCCAUACCGCGUGGGUGAAGAAGGCCUUCGGGUUGUAAAGCCCUUUUGUUGGGAAAGAAAAGCAGCAGGUUAAUACCCCGCUGUUCUGACGGUACCCAAAGAAUAAGCACCGGCUAACUUCGUG
rnacentral:rRNA from 1 species